rnacentral:tRNA from 1 species
UAAGGCGUAGCAUAAAUCAAUGUGCCUCACUUACGCUGAGGUGAUACUUCCAAUACGGAGUCGCUUUAA